UCAUAUUUGCAGACUUUGAUGGCCAAAAGAUGUGUCCUGUAUUCCUGAUGGAGCCUCUCCAAUGUUUUCUGUGAAGGCAAAGGACUUCAAGGAAAACCUGUGCUGAAGCUGGCUAGCUUUUAAAAAAGUUGUGUUAUGAAGGUGCUGACGAAAAAAAGUACUCUGGGAUUCUUCAAAGUAAUGCAAAGUACCAUUUCUGGGAGGAAUCGCAGAGUGCAUGACUGGAAAAAAACACAUCUGAAGAAACAGUUCACAUGCUAAAAAAUAAGCCUCACAAACUACAAAAUGUGCCAUAACUUUGAUGAGAAUUCAUUAAAACCAUGUGUUUGCCUCAGUUUCCCUCUGGAACACCUUACAAAACACAGACUUGCAGCUGACUCCAAAAAUGCAGGCACGUACCAGAGCCAUGUUGUUCAGUAGGUUUAUUUAUCUUAGGUUCAGCUGAUUUGUUGCAGAAAUAUGCUAGACCCUUAAUCCCAGUAGGAAAUUGAAACUCUGAGAAAGACAAAGUCUGGCUGACCCCCCGCAAGAACAAGCAGCAAAUCCUGCUGAGAAGUAGCAGUAGCAAAAACAGAGGGAAUUACCAGAGAGUUUUGUCUUGGAGGAUGACAACUGUUUAAAAAAUGCAAUGACUGAAGGAGUAAUUCUUCUACACCCUCCCACUUUGUCUGUAUUAAGCAUGUAACAAAUGGUGAAUUGAAAUCUAUACUGGUAAUAGUGUCAAUGAGGGAUCAGGAUUAUACAUGAUACUUCCUCAAUUUGUUAUGCCUCAUUAGCAUUGUGGCUUAUUGCAGGGAACGACACAGUUCUCAGGCAUUCCCUCAUGGCCUGUCCUGAUGGAUAAUAGAAAUAAAAAGAGGCAAGGUACUGGUGACACACUGCUCUCAUGACAUUUAUCAGGGGCAUAGUUAUCUGGGUUAGGGAUGCUUCCUGUUCUCCGUCAGAGUGCCAUAUUGAUUGGAAUUAAUAGUCCUGCUUGCUUGGUACUUUUUCAAGGAGCACCCCAUGUGGAAGGGGCCCUGGUGCUAAUGAAUACACAAGUUUAUACUCUGAAAAAAUAUUUAUAAUGCUAUGAGAAAAGCAACAAGCAUGGUUCUUUGCAUCAGACAUGCAAACUCCCCUCUGUUUAAGCUGUUCCCACUGACCUGGUUUCAUUAGAGAUAAAAUUCUGCUGGCAUGUGAAUUAAA